UGUUUCCGGGAGCUGAUGCGCCAUCCAGAUACCUGGAGUAUUUUGCUGUUUGCGACAAUUCCAUCUACCAGCAGAAAAAGAAAAACGUGACUCAGGUGAUAUUGAUGGUGCUUCAGAUUCUAUCUGUCCUUCACAAUAUAUAUGACGACAUAGGUCUUCACGUUGUUUUGACAGGAAUAGAGGUGUGGACAAGGCAAGAUCUCGCAGGCAGCGAGGCCGGUUUGGAAGCGUUUCACGACUACGUCACCUCUGAGCUUC